rnacentral:rRNA from 1 species
CCUACGGGAGGCAGCAGUGAGGAAUAUUGGUCAAUGGCCGAGAGGCUGAACCAGCCAAGUCGCGUGAGGGAAGACGGCCCUACGGGUUGUAAACCUCUUUUGUCGGGGAGCAAAGAGAGUCACGUGUGACUCAUUGAGAGUACCCGAAGAAAAAGCACCGGCUAACUCCGUGCCAGCAGCCGCGGUAAUACGGAGGGUGCGAGCGUUAAUCGGAAUUACUGGGCGUAAAGCGCUCGUAGGCGGUAUGUCAAGUCAAGGGUGAAAUCCCCGCGCUCAACGUGGGAACUGCCUUUGAAACUGGCAAA